rnacentral:rRNA from 1 species
AGUGGUACGCGAGCUGGGUUCAGAACGUCGUGAGACAGUUCGGUCCCUAUCCGUCGCAGGCGUAGGAAAUUUGAGAAGACCUGUCCUUAGUACGAGAGGACCGGGAUGGACGUACCUCUGGUGUACCCGUUGUCCUGCCAAGGGCAUGGCUGGGUAGCUAUGUAUGGAAUGGAUAAGCGCUGAAAGCAUCUAAGCGCGAAGCCAACUUCAAGAUAAGAUUUCCCACCGCAAGGGUAAGACCCCAGAAAGACUAUCUGGUUGAUAGGUCGAAGGUGUAAGUGCAGCAAUGUAUUUAGCUUAUCGAUACUAAUAGGUCGAGGACUUGACCAA